GGCAUGGAAAUCCACAGGAGGUCUGAGCUUGGAUCUCUGGGAUCCAGUCCUCUGGGUGGGCUGCUUACCUCGGGGGUGACCCACUGUCCUGGUUUGCCUGGGACUAAAGGGGUUCCUGAGACAUGGGACUUCCAGUUUUAGAACUGGGACAGUGCCAAGAAACUGGGGAUGUGUUGAUCGCUCUGUUUACCUCUCUGAACCUCAAUUUGCUCAUAUCUAAAACCAGGAUAGUUACUAUCUGUCGGAGGACGAAAUGGGAUAAUGCAGGGAAGCAUCUAGCACAUGGCUCUUCAACCUGUAAAAUGGGAGGGUAGUGCCUACUUCACCAUAGCCGUGGGGAGAAGCCCGUGAAAACACCUCUCAUCUGAGCCUGGGGCUUGUUCUUUCUUUGUUGAAGAGGAAUACAGAGGUGUCAAGGACAGAUGAGAACAAGACUGAGACUUUCUACUUGUUGAAAUCUGCGAGAAAAAAUGGGAAAGGAAUGAAUGAGAGGUUAUCUCUUAAUGUAAGUCAAUGUUUAUUCAAUGCUUUGCCUUGUACAGCCUCAAAUCAUCUUGGGAUCCACGGUGGGAGGCAGCACUGAUGUGAUGUCAUCCAGUGCCUAGAGAUGAGCCUGGCUCUAUUACUGGAGACCGCUGGUGGCUGCAUGGUGCCCUGAGUUAUAACCAAGAUUGCUGAAUAUCUGGGGAGAAAAUUUCUGUCUCUGAUCAGCCUCGGGGGCAUGAGUCAACCUCUGCUAAGUGUUUUGAGCUUGCCUACUGACAAGUUGAUGGCCAAUGCAGAGAAUUAUUAUUCUUAAGAAGAUUGUAAUCACAACUAUGAUGAAUCCAGGUUGAUGAGACAUUAAUGCCUGAAAGCUUUGGAGUAUUUUUGAAAAGCAUCGCUAAAAUAAUAAUUGAAAUCGCAACAAGGGGGAAUCAAGAACAUAAAAGCUGACUGAGAUAACCUCGCAACCCCGCCUGCCUUUUCUAGACACCAGCUUGCUGGGGGGCUUCAUGAGGCUUGUGAAGAAGACAGGACAAAAGAGUCAGGCUGUUGGGAAUUUUAAGGUCCCAAGUGACAUGAUGCCUUCUGAUGUUCCGGGCCUCAGUGGCCUCAUCUGAGAAAUGGGAAUGAUAAUAGCAUAUGUGCAUGGACCAGAUGAGCUCUUCUGGUCCUGUUCCAAUU
rnacentral:lncRNA from 1 species